rnacentral:rRNA from 1 species
GGCCGCGGGAAUUCGAUUCAGACCUAACAUUGCAAGUCGAGCGGGAACUUCGGUUCUAGCGGAGAACGGGUGAGUAAUGUGUAGGAAGCUACCUGAUAGAGGGGGAUACCAGUUGGAAACGACUGUUAACACCGCAUAAUGUCUACGGAUCAAAGUGUGGGGCCUUCGGGUCACAUGCUAUCGGAUGUGCCUAAGUGGGAUUAGCUAGUUGGUGAGGUAAUGGCUCACCAAGGUGAUGAUCCCUAGCUGGUUUUAGAGGAUGAUCAGCCACACUGGAACUGAGACACGGUCCAGACUCGUACGGGAGGCAGCAGUGGGGAAUAUUGGUCAAUGGGCGCAAGCCUGAUCCAUCCAAGGGGCGUGUGUGAAGAAGGCCUUCGGGUUGUAAAUCACAUUGAGUAAGGAGGAAGCGUUGAGUGUUAAUAGUACUCAGCGUUGACGUACUACAG